CGUGAGUGAUGACGGCCUUCGGGUUGUAAAGCUCUGUUAAUCGGGACGAAAGGCCUUCUUGCGAAUAGUGAGAAGGAUUGACGGUACCGGAAUAGAAAGCCACGGCUAACUACGUGCCAGCAGCCGCGGUAAUACGUAGGUGGCAAGCGUUGUCCGGAAUUAUUGGGCGUAAAGCGCGCGCAGGCGGAUAGGUCAGUCUGUCUUAAAAGUUCGGGGCUUAACCCCGUGAUGGGAUGGAAACUGCCAAUCUAGAGUAUCGGAGAGGAAAGUGGAAUUCCUAGUGUAGCGGUGAAAUGCGUAGAUAUUAGGAAGAACACCAGUGGCGAAGGCGACUUUCUGGACGAAAACUGACGCUGAGGCGCGAAAGCCAGGGGAGCGAACGGGAUUAGAUACCCCGGUAGUCCUGGCCGUAAACGAUGGGUACUAGGUGUAGGAGGUAUCGACCCCUUCUGUGCCGGAGUUAACGCAAUAAGUACCCCGCCUGGGGAGUACGACCGCAAGGUUGAAACUCAAAGGAAUUGACGGGGGCCCGCACAAGCGGUGGAGUAUGUGGUUUAAUUCGACGCAACGCGAAGAACCUUACCAGGUCUUGACAUAGAUGGACA
rnacentral:rRNA from 1 species